rnacentral:rRNA from 1 species
GUCUGCGGCCAUGCCACCCUGAACAAACUCGAUGUCUGAUCUCAGAAGCUAAGCAGAGUUGGGCCUGGUUAGUACUUAGAUGAGAGACCACGUACGAAGACCAGGUGCUGUAGGCA